GCUGGGUGUGGUGGUGGACACCUGUAAUCCCAGCUACACAGGAGGCUGAGGCGGGAGAAUCGCUUGAACCUGGGAGGUGGAGGUUGCAGUGAGCUGAGAUUGUGCCACUGCACUCCAGCCUGGGUGACAAAGUGAGACUCCGUCUCAAAAAAAAAAAAAAAAGAUGUUCAUUUGUGCUUUAUUAUUUAUAAUAACAAAUAUAAUUUUUUUUUUUUUAAGAUGAAGUCUCCCUCUGUCCCCCAGGCUAGAGUGCAGUGGUGCGACGGCAGCUCACUGCAACCUCUGCCUCCCAGGUUCAAGCGAUUCUCCUGCCUCAG
rnacentral:sRNA from 1 species